rnacentral:rRNA from 1 species
AGAGUUUGAUGGUGGCUCAGGAUGAACGCUAGCUACAGGCUUAACACAUGCAAGUCGAGGGGCAGCAUGGUCUUAGCUUGCUAAGGCUGAUGGCGACCGGCGCACGGGUGAGUAACACGUAUCCAACCUGCCGUCUACUCUUGGCCAGCCUUCUGAAAGGAAGAUUAAUCCAGGAUGGGAUCAUGAGUUCACAUGUCCGCAUGAUUAAAGGUAUUUUCCGGUAGACGAUGGGGAUGCGUUCCAUUAGAUAGUAGGCGGGGUAACGGCCCACCUAGUCAACGAUGGAUAGGGGUUCUGAGAGGAAGGUCCCCCACAUUGGAACUGAGACACGGUCCAAACUCCUACGGGAGGCAGCAGUGAGGAAUAUUGGUCAAUGGGCGAUGGCCUGAACCAGCCAAGUAGCGUGAAGGAUGACUGCCCUAUGGGUUGUAAACUUCUUUUAUAAAGGAAUAAAGUCGGGUAUGCAUACCCGUUUGCAUGUACUUUAUGAAUAAGGAUCGGCUAACUCCGUGCCAGCAGCCGCGGUAAUACGGAGGAUCCGAGCGUUAUCCGGAUUUAUUGGGUUUAAAGGGAGCGUAGAUGGAUGUUUAAGUCAGUUGUGAAAGUUUGCGGCUCAACCGUAAAAUUGCAGUUGAUACUGGAUGUCUUGAGUGCAGUUGAGGCAGGCGGAAUUCGUGGUGUAGCGGUGAAAUGCUUAGAUAUCACGAAGAACUCCGAUUGCGAAGGCAGCCUGCUAAGCUGCAACUGACAUUGAGGCUCGAAAGUGUGGGUAUCAAACAGGAUUAGAUACCCUGGUAGUCCACACGGUAAACGAUGAAUACUCGCUGUUUGCGAUAUACGGCAAGCGGCCAAGCGAAAGCGUUAAGUAU